rnacentral:lncRNA from 1 species
ACCCCCACAAGUCGGUUGCUUAAGCAACACCCCAGUAGAACCGGCAGAGGAGACACAAGCAGAAAACUAAACGGGCCAGAUGUGGCGCUGACUAAGCGGGCUCCAGUCCGCUGCAAGACGCGCUGAGCAGGAAGUCCCACAGCCGCCCAGGCGCUGCCACUCCAGCCAGAGCUAGUACUCAUGGGCGCCAGACAAGCUGAUGACGAUAAUACGCCACGCCAGCGCCUGGAAAGAAAAGCCGCCCAGAAGGAAAUCUAGGGGGCCUGCACAGGUGAUGCAAGCGUCAGCCGCAAGUUCAACUU